UACGUAGGGUGCGAGCGUUGUCCGGAAUUAUUGGGCGUAAAGGGCUCGUAGGCGGUUUGUCGCGUCGGGAGUGAAAACACCGGGCUUAACUCGGUGCUUGCUUCCGAUACGGGCAGACUAGAGGCAUGCAGGGGAGAACGGAAUUCCCAGUGUAGCGGUGAAAUGCGUAGAUAUUGGGAGGAACACCAGUGGCGAAGGCGGCUACCUGGACCGGUUCUGACGCUGAUGCGCGAAAGCGUGGGUAGCAAACAGG
rnacentral:rRNA from 1 species